AACUGAAAAAGGCAAACCCAUCGAAAGGUGGGGACGCAAAGUCACCGGUCUAAAGGGUGGGCACCACUCCAGGAUAGCGGGACCGCCAGG
rnacentral:ncRNA from 1 species